rnacentral:lncRNA from 1 species
AAGCCUAAUUUUCAUAAAGCUCUGGACCUGCACCCUUAUUGUUACGUGACUCAGAAGAGAAAAACGAAUAAAAACCUGUUGGUGGCCUUGGCCUUGAAGGAAGCAUUCUGCAGUAAUACUCAGGCUGCAACAAAAGUGAGUUGAUCUAGGGCACUGAGCUGAAGAUGCCCAUGGGCUAAGGAACCUCAACAGAGUGAUGCUUCGCAAAUCACAGCUGCUUCUGUGAUGUGAAAUAAUAGCUUACUUAAGAGCGGUGGCUGCAGUGGGUGUCAGGGACGUCAUUGCUAUGCUACUUCUCAACGGCUUCUCUGCCUGGCUGAGUCAAAUAUGGCACCUGUCUGGAGAAUGGGUGGUACCUAGUAACUCUAACAUGCUCUAAAGAGACAAGAAACCCAAGGCGCUGAACGUACGUUAACUCCUUUCUAGAUAAAAAAGAUUGAAAUUUAAGAGGAAUUGGGUGAUACUCCACAUUUUAAACCACAUAUUGUAGCCAGAAAUCUAAACCUUACUGCUCUCCCUAGUUUUGACCACUUCAUUCUUCCAAACACUAGUGUCCAAACAGUUGACUUCUGCAGAGCUGUCAGUCUGGGAAUUGCACUGCCCUCUGACAGAGUCCCUGUGCCCAGUCAGCUUCCCCUGCAAACCUGAAGGAUUUAGGCUAGCUGCUUUCCUCCUGUGAAGUGUUACAGCCGUUCCAUGUCUCUCAUUGGAGGAUCACCCAUGAUGAGUUGCUCCCUGCUUCUAAGAACCUGACCACUUUCAAAUGCAUUUUUUUUUUUGGUCUUUUUAGGGCCACACCUGUGGCAUAUGGAGGUUUCCAGGCUAGGCUGGGAAUCGAAUUGGAACUGUAGCUGCUGGUCUACACCACACCCACAGCAACUCAGGAUCUGAGCCAAGUCCAUGACCUACACUACGGCUUGCAGUAAUGCCAGAUCCCUAACCCACUGAGCAGGGCCAGGGAGCGAACCUGUGUCCUCAUGCGUACUAGUCAGUUUUGUUACUGCUGAGCCACAACAGGAACUCCUUAAAAAGAAUUUUUAAAGCUAACACUUAUUUAGUAUUUAUAUGAGCCAGGUAUUUUCAAGCAUUUUACAUAUAAUAAAUCAUAUCUCACAACAACAAUAUUUAACUGGUGGUAAUAUUAUUUCCAUGUUGUAGAUCAGCACCAUUCAAUAGAAAUAUAAUGUAAACACAGAAAGUUUAAAUGUUUGUUCAUAAAUAAAUGUUUAUAAACAUGUUUAAAAAUAACCGUACACCCAAAAGUGUAUUUAUAAUAUAAAUGUUAAUAAAUAUAAACAUAAACCAUUUUAAAUUUCUAGUAGCCCUAUUUUUAAAAAAAUGAAACAGUUGACAUGAAUUUUAAUAAUGUAUUUGUAACCCACUGUAUCCGAAGGAGUAUCAUAUAAAUGGGAUAUUUUAUUUGGGGGGAAGAGGAUUAGGUCAUAGACAUAAGAUAUAUAAUUUUCAUGUAUAUAGCAUCCCUCAAUUUGCAUUAACUCAUUUCAAGUGUUUAAUAGCCAUGUGUAGCUAAAAUGGUUACUGAAUGAGACAGCACAAUGACAGACAGGGAAACUGGGGCACAGAAGACACUUAACUUACCCAACAGGAGACUUUUUUUGGCUAGGAAAUGGUAAAACUAUAAUUAAAAUAUAAGUAGUCUUACCCCAGAACCUGCUCUCUGAAUCCAAUCUUCAGAAAAGAGAAAAGUGGGUGGACUCACAUGCCCCAAUUUCUAAACUUACUACAAAGCAACAACAAUCAAAAGAAUGUGCUACUGGGGUAAAGAUAACAGGCAGAUUACUGGAAUAGAACUGACAAUCCAGGAGUUCUGCUGUGGUGCCAUGCAUUAAGGAUCCGGUGUUGCUGCAGCUGUGGCACUGGUGGAAGCUAUGGCUCGGAUUCCAUCCCUUGCCUCUUCCGUAUGCUGUAGAUGUGGCAAACAGAAGAAAACUGCAUUCUAGAAACAAACCUUUACAUUUAUAGCCAAUUGAUUUUCAACAAGUGUGCCAAAACAAUUUGGUGGCACAGCAACACCGGAUCCUCAACCCACUGAGGGGGCCAGGGAUGGAACCUGCAUCCUCAUGGAUACUAGUUGGGUUUGUAACCUGCUGAGCCGCAAUGGGAACUCCUACAAUUUAUUAAUCUCUUUAAUUAGUCCCCUUACAACAUGGAGGCCUUUAGGAUCAAGAAGUGUACCAGGUUAAAAUAAAGUUUUAAAUGGGAAACUCAGUGAAGUAGGGAAAGAAAUACAACUAAAAACAUUUUUAGUGCAAUGUAUGAAUGUUGUAGAAGAAAAGUAUUCUCAAUCCUAAGAGUAUCAAGAGGAGAAAAAUAAAAAAAAAUCAUCAAGGAGGUGAAAUUUGAAGGAGCCCUUGUGAGUUUACCUCUCUCCCAGUUACUUAACCAGAAUUGGCUUCUUUGUGUAUCAGAUUCCUUCACUGUCCAGGACAUUUAAAACCCCCAAAUGGAGUCAUUUGCCUUCAGCUUGGGUGUGAAGAUAAACUAUUCACACUCUAACAAUUUCAUAUUCCAUUUGAUGAGAUUAGAGAAGAAUACAAAAAUUUACAUCAAUGAAAAGUCCACCAUUAGAGGUACCUUAGCCAAUUAUUUACCUUCCAUAAUGGGAUCACAGUUCAUUUAGAAUCAAUUAGUAAUCCUUUGCUACGCUCCUAUUAAUAAAAGUUUAAUUUAUUCACAGUUGACUUGGAACAUCACAUAAACCUGUAUGCUAUUUUCAUCCUUCUAUUUUUACUAGAAAGAUUCCUGCCAUAAUCUUCUAGGAUUACAUGUUAAAGUUUGGAUGUUCUCUUUCCAGAGUAGGCUUUAGGUUUAAAUUACCUUAUUCCUUUGUUGGUGAAAGUGAGUCAUCUCCAUUCUGUGUUGGGGUACCUGUCCCCACUUUAUUUUAUACUUGUCCCACUUAAUUUGCCUGAAGGUUAACCACGUAAACAUGGUCACAAGUAAGAUUUUAGUGUGAGAUAAAUCAAAUGAUUGAGAUUCAAGGGGAUACUUAAGAGUGAAGAUGUUCUAACAUACCCCCCAAUGAAGGAAGAUGUCAGCUCUUUCAUAAAAUCUGAGGGGGGCUUGGUGAAUACAAAGCAAUUGUGGGAUGAGCAGAUGAUUCCUAAGAAUUAAAAUUACUCAUGCCUAACCAAAGUCUUCCAUAGUCUCCCUCUACCCUUCUUACGCAUCAUUUUAUAUUGUACCUGUUAGGCGCCAUGUACUGCUCUAGGCACUUGAGAGUUAUCCAAUUAUUUCAUUCGCAGAAAAACCUUAUAAGGUAGGAAUCAUUAUUAUACGCCCCUUGUACCUGAAGAACUGAAGCACAGAGUGGUUCAGUGACUUGUCUAAAAUCCCAUGGCUGAUAAAGAGCAGAGUCAGGAUGUAACCCAGGAGUCUUCCCCUUAUGUUCAAACCCAUAACCAUUGUACUCUACUACCUCCCCAAGAUCCCGUCUGAGGUCCUAAGCCCAGAAGUCAAUUCCCUCUCCACACUCAGGUUCAAUAUUUUACUCCAUCAACAUUCAUUUAUGAUAAAAAAAAAAAACUUCAGAAAGUGGGCACAGAGCGAACAUACAUCAACAUAAUAAAGGCCAUAGAUGACAAAUCCACAGCUAACAUCAUAGUCAACAGUGAAAAGCUAAAAGCAUUUCCACUAAGAUCAGGAACAAGACAAGAAAGUCCACUCUCAUUACUUUAAUUUAACAUAGUUUUGGAAGUCCUAGCCAUGGCC